rnacentral:rRNA from 1 species
UACGUAGGGGGCAAGCGUUGUCCGGAUUUAUUGGGCGUAAAGAGCGUGUAGGCGGUUUGGUAGGUCCGCUGUGAAAACUCGAGGCUCAACCUCGAGACGCCGGUGGAAACCAUCAGACUAGAGUCCGGAAGAGGAGAGUGGAAUUCCUGGUGUAGCGGUGAAAUGCGUAGAUAUCUGGAGGAACACCGGUGGCGAAGGCGACAUCCUGGACCAACACUGACGCUGAGUGAGCGAAAGCCAGGGGAGCAAACGGG